CCUACGGGCGGCAGCAGUGGGGAAUAUUGGGCAAUGGGCGCAAGCCUGACCCAGCAACGCCGCGUGAAGGAAGAAGGCUUUCGGGUUGUAAACUUCUUUUUUCAGGGAAGAGUAGAAGACGGUACCUGACGAAUAAGCCACGGCUAACUACGUGCCAGCAGCCGCGGUAAUACGUAGGUGGCAAGCGUUGUCCGGAUUUACUGGGUGUAAAGGGCGUGUAGCCGGGUUGACAAGUCAGAGGUGAAAUCCUGCGGCUUAACCGCAGAACUGCAUUUGAAACUGUUGGUCUUGAGUACUGGAGAGGCAGAUGGAAUUCCUAGUGUAGCGGUGAAAUGCGUAGAUAUUAGGAGGAACACCAGUGGCGAAGGCGGUCUGCUGGACAGCAACUGACGGUGAGGCGCGAAAGCGUGGGGAGCAAACAGGAUUAGAUACCCCAGUAGUC
rnacentral:rRNA from 1 species